rnacentral:tRNA from 1 species
UGUUUAGUUGUUAAUUAAGUUUUCGCGGGAUCGAGGCCCGUCAAUUUAGU